GCAAAAGCUGGUGAGCAAUGCUGAGGCAGGGGUGAAAAGUGGCAUGAGAAGGUUGAACCGGACCAUUGUCCAGCAGAGAUCAAAUCAUAUCUUGCAAGAGAAGACUUCUCUUCGGUUGAAAGAGAGUUAUCAUUUUUUCCUCCUCCUGGCUGAAUAAUUGGUUCUUCAAAAAGAAUUAUCCUGUGCUAUCUCCACUCUUCACGAUAAAGGAUUGGAGUCCAAGGAGUUUGAUCUGAAGAAGCUCAAGAGCAUUGCUUUCUAAAGUUAAACUUUUAGAUCUGUUUACUGAUUUCAGACGCUGCUAAAAACGCAGUUUCGGCAUUGUUGGACUUGUGCACUUUUUUUUUUAAUUUCUUUUUAUUGGUUUAUACUUGUCCACUCUUUUGAUUAUGCUAGUUAUGCGCGAAACUAGUUUUUUGGUUGGCUUAAUUACAAUUGCUAUGGGGCUUUUGAUUUGUUUCUCAUAUGAAGCCUGAUUUGUAGAAUCUUUUCUCAAGCUUUGUGCUGUUAGAUUGAUCCGUUGCAUUGCAAAAUAUGCCCUGAUAUAUUCCAAUAUAUGUAAGUGAUUUGGGUUCUAUGCAAAAGUUGACCUUUUUCCGAGUAA